CCAAAGUGUUGGGAUUACAGAUGUGAGCCACCGCGCCCGGCCUUAUUAUUAUUAUUUUUCAAAAUAACGGAAAAAACAGCCAGACAAGUCUGGGGCCCUGGCAUUUGCUCCUCCGGGACUCCUAGGUCAGUGCUCUGCUCUGGCCUUCGCUAAAUGCGUCUUGCCUGUUGAGAGCUGACUAAAGGGAAUCAGUUUAUAAAUGUUUAAGCGCCUGCCCAGAACUUGGCUCUCUAGAUUCCCGAAUCUCUGAUAAAUUUCCCGUUGUUGCUAGUAAUGAGGUUAGUUUGUUGGCGGCAUAAGGUGGAUCCUGGGGAGAGUGAGACUGUGGCACCAGAAGCUUGGCAUUUCCCUUCGGCUGCCGGUAUCUUCCCGUGACUCCCGAUUCUUCUUUUCCAGUUUUCCAGGGCAAUGGCUGCCAGGUUUUCCUUAUAUUUAAGUAGUUAAUGGAGUUAGGAGAUUAGAGCCCUGUCAUUUAUUUGCCUUAUCACUUUGUAUAAGUUAUUUCGCAGUGCCCAGAUUGCCUCAUCUUUAAGAUUCGCAAUACCAAACUCUCAAACUUGUUGGGAGGAUUGAGUAAAUGAGUUAUGUGCAAAUGCUUCGCACUAGACGGGUACUUAAUAAUACUAAGUACAUAUAGGUGCCCAAACGUAUUGGUCAAAUGAACAUUAAGUCAUCUGAACCAAAGCUUAAUCUUUUUUGAACAGUAAAAGUCUUCGAUCAAUUAGGAAAACAAACUUAGAUUCUGCAGAAAAACAACCAAAAUCUCAAAAUUAUGUAUUGAGUAAUUUACUAUAGAGAGACAGUAUAGUAUAGCAUAGUAUAGUAUAGUAUAGUAGUUAUGGGCAAAAUAUCUGGACUCAGACUGCAUAGUAAAUUUGUCCAUUAGUUUGAAUACUAAAGCCAAAUGAUUUUAGCAUUAAGUCGUGUCUAGGUAGAACAAUAAUCAUUACCUUCACAGGUCUUUUGUCUCAUCCCAAUAAUGUAUGUGAAAUCACACUGAAAAGUAGAAUGUGCUUUAAGCCUACUUAUGUACACAGUAUUUCUAGUCAUUAUAGGGAAUGCAAUAUAUUACUUUUAACAUGUAGAAGAGUCCAAGAUGUUAAGAAAACAAGGAAAUAAAUACUGCAAGAUGAUUUUGUAUGAUAAAAAAAAGUAUUACUAGUUAGUGUUAAUAAAGAAAUAUCACUGUGGUAUGGGAGAAAGAUGAAUGUGCGUUAGUUCUUGAAAAAUAGUUGGAAAUAAUUGCACUCCACACAUUCUAAUUUUUCCUGUAGUCUUUUCUGGUAUUAAAAAAAUUAUGAUAGAAAUUUUAGUGUUUUAUGAUGACAUUUUUCUAACCAUUUCAUGAUGGAGCUUGUUUAGAGUAGGCAAGAAUGCUGAAAAAUAGUAACCUUUUUGGGACUCCUUUUCUCCAAGUAUAAAAUGAUAAUACAACUUCCAAUCAAUUGUCCAGUAUGUCACUUUGUAAAAACAUUUUGAUACUAUAGACAUUUCCUGAGGACUGCCAGCUUAUUAAGUGGUACAACUUUUGGUUUGCUUAAAUGCUGCAUUGCAUGCCUCUUUUCUCUUGGCCUGUGUAAAAUUGCUUUUAAGUUACUCGGAGUACUCCAGCCCAUACAGAAUUCUCUCCUUUCUGAAUUCCUGUAGCGUGUAUAAUCUGAACUACAUUAUCUAACACUGAGUGUCUUAGUAGUGGACAUGUAUAGAAUUCAUUAGUUUUUCCUCACUUGUGAGUUAGACGGGGGUAGGUGAUAUUAACAUUUCACACAUUUGGAAAUAGCAUUUCACACAUCUGGAAACCGGGGCUUAGAAAGGACAAGUAAUUUGCUGAAGUUCGGAGUGCCAAGUCCACAUCAUAACCAGGUCUCUUGGAUUCUAGUCCUGUUGGUUUUCCACAGUAUGACAUGCUAAUGUGGUUCAUUUUGUUGUCCAUUUGUUUCAUGUCUGUGGCUCUUGUAAGUUCCUUGUAAAGAAUCUUAAAUUCUCCAGAGCUACACAGGCAGUUUCCUCUUCCACUCAGGGGUCUCUUAGUAUCUUUCUCUUGUAUUUCUAUUAAAUAUGUUGCCUUCUGCUACUCAUUGGACAUACUCAGUGUUUAAAAAACAUUUUUGGUCUUGUAUUAAGCUAAUUUCAAAACUGAACAGGUUACUGCCUAGAAUUUUAGUCUUCUAAGUGUCACAUAAGUUCUUUAUAAACAAGCUCCCCCCUCAAAUAAUAUUUCUUAUU